rnacentral:piRNA from 1 species
UCAAAAUGCCAUGAGGAGAUGAACCUUUU